UCGGGAAUUUUGGGCAAUGGGCGAAAGCCUGACCCAGCAACGCCGCGUGAAGGAUGAAGUAUUUCGGUAUGUAAACUUCGUAAGAAUAGGAAGAAUAAAUGACGGUACUAUUUGUAAGGUCCGGCUAACUACGUGCCAGCAGCCGCGGUAAUACGUAGGGACCAAGCGUUGUUCGGAUUUACUGGGCGUAAAGGGCGCGUAGGCGGUGUGUCAAGUCAGUUGUGAAAUCUCCGAGCUUAACUCGGAACGGUCAACUGAUACUGUCACACUAGAGUGCAGAAGGGGCAAUCGGAAUUCUUGGUGUAGCGGUGAAAUGCGUAGAUAUCAAGAGGAACACCUGAGGCGAAGGCGGGUUGCUGGGCUGAUACUGACGCUGAGGCGCGAAAGCUAGGGUAGCAAACGGGAUUAGAUACCCUCGUAGUCCCUGAGCGGGCUGGCAAGGCGCAU
rnacentral:rRNA from 1 species